rnacentral:rRNA from 1 species
UUUAAGCGCAAGGUUUUCUACGCAACGUUCAUCGGCGUAGAGUGAGUCGGCCCCUAAGGCGAGGCAGAGAUGCGUAGCUGAUGGGAAACAGGUCAAUAUUCCUGUACCGAUGUGUAGUGCGAUGUGGGGACGGAUCUUAAUAGGUCAUCCGGGUGUUGGAUAUCCCGGUUUAGUUGGAAGUAGGCGAUGGGUAGGCAAAUCCGCCCGUCAUAUACCGAGGCCAACGAUCGAGCCAGCUUGCUGGUGAAGUGACUGAACGAGGUUCCAGGAAAAGCCACUAAGCUUCAGCUAUACACGACCGUACCGCAAACCGACACUGGUGCGCGAGAUGAGUAUUCUAAGGCGCUUGAGAGAACUCAGGAGAAGGAACUCGGCAAAUUGACACCGUAACUUCGGAAGAAGGUGUGCCCUAUUAGUGUGAAGUGAACAACGGAGCAUGAAUGGGUUGCAAAAAAUCGGUGGCUGCGACUGUUUAUUAAAAACACAGCACUCUGCAAACACGAAAGUGGACGUAUAGGGUGUGACGCCUGCCCGGUGCUGGAAGAUUAAAUGAUGGGGUGCAAGCUCUUGAUUGAAGUCCCAGUAAACGGCGGCCGUAACGAUAACGGUCCUAAGGUAGCGAAAUUCCUUGUCGGGUAAGUUCCGACCUGCACGAAUGGCGUAACGAUGGCCACACUGUCUCCUCCUGAGACUCAGCGAAGUUGAAAUGUUUGUGAUGAUGCAAUCUCCCCGCGGAAAGACGGAAAGACCCCAUGAACCUUUACUGUAGCUUUGUAUUGGACUUUGAACAGAUCUGUGUAGGAUAGGUGGGAGGCUUUGAAGCAGGGUCGCUAGAUCUUGUGGAGCCAACGUUGAAAUACCACCCUGGUGUGUUUGAGGUUCUAACCUAGGUCCAUUAUCUGGAUCGGGGACAGUGCAUGGUAGGCAGUUUGACUGGGGCGGUCUCCUCCCAAAGCGUAACGGAGGAGUUCGAAGGUACGCUAGUUACGGUCGGACAUCGUGACGAUAGUGCAAUGGCAUAAGCGUGCUUAACUGCGAGACUGACAAGUCGAGCAGAUGCGAAAGCAGGACAUAGUGAUCCGGUGGUUCUGUAUGGAAGGGCCAUCGCUCAACGGAUAAAAGGUACUCUGGGGAUAACAGGCUGAUACCGCCCAAGAGUUCAUAUCGACGGCGGUGUUUGGCACCUCGAUGUCGGCUCAUCUCAUCCUGGGGCUGUAGCCGGUCCCAAGGGUAUGGCUGUUCGCCAUUUAAAGAGGUACGUGAGCUGGGUUUAAAACGUCGUGAGACAGUUUGGUCCCUAUCUUCCGUGGGCGCUUCAGAUUUGAGGAAGCCUGCUCCUAGUACGAGAGGACCGGAGUGGACACACCUCUGGUG